rnacentral:ncRNA from 1 species
CAAAAGUUUGGCCCCAACUUUAUUAUUAGCUUUAGCUACUUUUAUACAUGCAAGUAUCCGCACACCCGUGAGAAUGCCCUUAAAUUCCCUGCCGAAAAUAAGGAGCUGGUAUCAGGCUCAUAACUAUAGCCCACAACACUUUGCUAAGCCACUCCCUCAAGGGUAUUCAGCAGUAAUUAGUUUUAAAUAUGAGCGCAAGCUUGAUUUAGUAAAAGCUAAAAGAGCCGGCAAACCUCGUGCCAGCCGCCGCGGUCAGACGGGAGGCUCAAGUUAAUAAUCUCGGCGUAAAGUGUAGUUAAGGAAAAAUAAAACUAAAGUCAUACAACUUCUUAGCUGUAUAACGCUUUUGGAAAUAUGAGGCUCUUUAACGAAAGUAACUUUAACAAACCUGACACUACGAAAGUUAAGAAACAAACUGGGAUUAGAUACCCCACUAUGCUUAACUGUAAACCUUAGAAAAAUUUGCACAUAUUAACUCGCCUGAAAACUACAAGCGUAAGCUUAAAACUCAAAGGGUCUGGCGGCACUUUAAACUAUCUAGAGGAGCCUGUCCUAUAAUCGAUAACCCCCGUUAAACCUCACCUUCUUUAGCUAUAAUCAGCCUGUAUACCGCCGUCGUCAGCUUACCCCCUAAAGGUUACACAAGUAAGCAAAACUGGUUUGACCCAAAACGUCAGGUCGAGGUGCAGCUUACAAGAAGGGAAGAGAUGGGCUACAUUUCCUAUACAGGAAAUACGAAUAGUACACUGAAACAUGUACAUUGAAGGAGGAUUUAGCAGUAAGUAAAAAUUAGAGCGUUUCACUGAAAAAGGUCUUAAAGUGCGUACACACCGCCCGUCGUUCUCUCUUUAUUUUCUUUAUAAAUAAUUUAUAAUAUCAGCACCUUAUGUUAAUGGGGGAGACAAGUCGUAACAAGGUAAGCGUACUGGAAAGUGUGCUUGGUUAAU